UUCCAAUAUUCCAAAGAGAUCGAGGAGAUGUAACAGGGUCUUGGACCUGUGACCUCCAUCUGAGUAACUUAGGUUAAUAUGUCCCUGGGAUUUCUCGCGGUCUUCCAUCAAUUUAACAGUUUGUUCCUAUUGCUCAAUAAAAUGUACUGUUGGAAAAGCGAGUGUAAGCAUUUUAGUUGUAGGAGAAAAAAAAGAGAGAGAAGGAGAAUGAGAGAGAAAGAGAGAGAGAGCUGACUUCAAUUGUCUGUUUUUUCUAUUUAAUGGAGACACCAGGGACUAGAAAUAUCCCGGGGCUGGAUGCAGGCUAGAUUCAAGGGACUGGUUAACACAGAUAGCAAAGUCUUUGCAAGGAGCCAGGACCCAGUUUCACUUUCAACUAUGGCAUUCUCAAUACAGUCCUAUCCCUAACAUGUGGGCAAAGAAAUUCCCAGUGGGAACUUGGAAUGAGGUUGGAAACUCUGAGGAGCGAGGCAAGAGUGUGACCUGGCUCCCUGGACCGCUGGCCUGGAGCCAGAUCCUCUGCUCCUUUUCAGAGAUGGAAUUGAGGCAGAGAAGAACUCACAGAGAGAAAAGAGACUCUUUUUGUUUUGUUUGUUUGGUUUGUUGUUGUGUCGGUGGUGGUGGCUCUUGGAGAGAAGCGUUGCCGCGUAUCAUCCGGGCCAUCAUCGAAUAAUACUGUGGACUCUCCAUUCUGGGCUGUACAGCAGGGCUAACCUGUGUCUACCGCACAUCUCACUCGUUUUUUCCUGUAGUCAAGUCCCUUUCCCUGCAGGGUGUUUGGAGCCACUUUCUACAUCAAUAUCAUCAGACUUCCUUGUUAGUUUGGUGGCAUGUUAUUCCAGGACAUAUCAGAGGAGACCCUUCUUGGGAAGUAGGUGCAGGAAGCAGUAAUAAUACCUUAAAAAAACCUCUUUCUUCUUGUUUCAAGUUAAUGUUUUUUAAAUUUGAUAUCUAUAUUUUCCCACUGUGACUGGUUUUGGGUUGUGGGAUUUUAAGGAAAUUCUCAAAAUACAAAGUUAAUUAUUUACUGAGUGCCAAUGAGAGAGGGAUACAGAAGGAGAAAUGUCGUGGUCGUUGCCCAAAAGGAGCUUUUGUGUAGUUAGGAAAUAAAGAAGGCACACACAGGACCAUUAGUGAACAAAGCUCUACGACAUGAGCUAAUCGUUUGGAAUCAACGAGUGCCUCAGUCAAACCACGAAACCAACCAGUGUGGAUCGGAACUCCACCGAAAACAGGAACAUGGCUGGGUCCCAAAAGGGUAGAUCCCAUGUGUUUCAGGUGAUUUCGACUCCACUCUUGGCUCCAUGGGCAUGACAUGACUCUAACGCUGAACCAUCGGUGAAUGCUGCUCCUCUGGCCACAGCUGGUUCAGGGAUGAACACAGGACCCAGUUCAGGCUAAUCAGAGCUAAUAAGAUUCAAUACAAGGACUUUCUGAAUUAUCAGAGAUGAGGCCUCUUUUUUUAAUGGCAGCCGUUGUGCCUUCAUAAGGGACAAGCACGCCUGAGAAUGGAGCCAACUUAGGCAGGGAAGAGCUGAGAGAUGGAGAGAAACUGAAUCUGGUGACAUCAUUUGAGUCGCUGAAUUCAGCUGUGUCUGAAACCAUAUUCUCUGUACAUUUUAGUUAUGUAAACCAAAACUUUCUCCUUUCUUUUCCUUUUUUAAGGAAGAUUAGCCCUGAGCUAACACCCACUACGAAUCCUCCUCUUUUUGCUGAGGAAGACUGGCCCUGAGCUAACAUCUGUGCCCAUCUUCUUCUACUUUAUAUGUGGGACACCUGCCAAAGCGUGGCUUGAUAAGCAGUGCAUAGGUCUGCACCCAGGAUGCAAACUGGUAAACCCCGGGCCACCAAAGCAGAAUGCGUGAACUUAACGGCUGCACCACCAGGCUGGCCCCAAUACUUUCUCUCUUUUACUUAAAACAUUUGGCUUGGGUUUCUGUCACUUGCAAUGAAAAGAGACCCAACUUGCGCAACAGGACCGGGAGAGGCAGAAGGACAAAAGCAAUCCAGGUCCAGAAGCUUCACUGUGACUGCCGGCAAUGACAUGGCAUUUUGAGGAGGCUCUCUUUGCUUACGUUGACUCCUGUGGAUCACGUGCACGUGAAUUAAGCUCUUGAAAGGUUUUACGGAGAUGGCGAAGCAGCUGAGAAGCAGAGGCUGGCUUGAUGUGCGGCUGUGGGGUGAGAUGAGCGAUACUCCUUGGUCGGCCUGGCUCAUCUUACUCGUCAUUUCCUGCAGGAGAACAGCUUGAGUGGCUCUCUGCAAUAUGUCACCUAGAAGCAGGAAGCCAUUCCGAACCCACGUGUUCCCAGCACUGAGUCAUCUCUAAAUGUCCUGAGCUUUCCAAUGACCUUGCUGACAGAGCAAGUCAAAGUCAGGAAGCAGAGUUUCCUGGGAUUUCCCAUACAGUCAUAGACAUCUGCAAGAUAAUCUGGGAAAAUUUUCAAGUCAAACAGAAGAAGUACAAGAACAUCUAACUGAAAUCCUCAUUGUUUCUGACGGUGCUGAGUCUACUGAACGUUGUUCUUCCUUUUAACUAGACGUGGGAUUUAAGAGAAGAAAGGCCUGGAAACAAAAGCACCACAGGAGCGAUGAGUUCACUUGGUGCGCAGGUCAUGCUGUCUGCAUUCCUUCUUUGGAGAAAUGCCUGAUUACAGUCCUGGGAAUGCAGGGCACAGGGCCUAGCAAUAUUCUGGCCCAAAGAAGACCCUCCAAAACAUUUGUUAAGCAGAUGAAGAAAUGAGUUAAUGAACGAGCAUCUCAGAGCCUCGUGAGGACAAAGCAGAGCAGUCAAGAAUGUCCCAAAUGGGGGAAGCUUCUCCCAGGCAGUCAUCUGCGGACCAGGCUCCCCGGCCUCAGCUGUUCAUGCUCCUGUGCACACGCUCCCUGGGCCACAUGCCUGCACCAAGCUUCCUUUUGCCGUCUCAAAACUACUCUUGGCAAAGCAUGGCCUGGAGAACUUUCAUGAACCUUUGGUAAGGAAAAGGUUCUUUGUGGAAAUUGAGAAGUCCAGGCUGCGGCAGAGUAUGAGCAGCAGAUGGGUCUCAGUUUGGGGCAGUGAAUAAUUGCCCCGUCGGAGCGCCUUCUCAUGCCGGAAGGAAUAUGCCGCAUGAUGCGAGGGACCACGUUUCCUAUUUUACUUUGAUUUUACUUUCAGUGGAGUGGAGUUAAUGAAGUAUAGUCUAAACGGCAAAGAGGGGCUCUGGUCCCCGGAAACCCACGUUAAAACCGGAAGACAUCACAGAGGUUCCAGCGCUUUCACGAAGGGACCAGCCGGCUCGUCUGUCCGUAAAGCUGUGUUGGGUCAACGCCACAAGGGUCAUUGCUCCUGUGUCCCUGCUUCCGCCCUGCGGCGUGGGGGUGAGCGGCGGGGACAGAGACCGCGGGAGCUUUGUGGGCGGCGAGGGGGCCCCGCAGACGAAGCGGCCGCCCUGGUCAGUGGCCUUCUUUGCCACCCACCGUCCCGCCCAAGGCCCCAGAUACUUACAACGUUUUUCUUCAAAAGCCUAAAGGAAAAUGACCGAGCUGGCCUCUGUUUGGGGGCCGCGGGGCGUUCCCGGGCGUGACGUGGAGCCCUGGCCCUGCUGGCGGGGCCCGAACCUCCAGGUGGUGGAACCCGAGGCCUGGAAGGGUGGCCCGGGAAGAGAGCGGGGCAGGAAACGCGCCCCAGAGACGAGCCCAGCGCCAGGGCAGGGCAGCUGGAAGCGGG
ensembl:lncRNA